rnacentral:rRNA from 1 species
CCUACGGGUGGCAGCAGUGAGGAAUAUUGGUCAAUGGUCGGGAGACUGAACCAGCCAAGCCGCGUGAGGGAGGAAGGUACAGAGUAUCGUAAACCUCUUUUGUCAGGGAACAAAGACUGGGACGCGUCCCCGGAUGAGUGUACCUGAAGAAAAAGCAUCGGCUAACUCCGUCCCAGCAGCCGCGGUAAUACGGGGGCUGCGAGCGUUGUCGGGAUUUGUGGGGUUAAAAGGGUGGGCAGGCGGGCUGUUAGGUCAGCGGUCAAAGCCCGGGGUCCAACCCCGGCCCGCAGUUGAAACUGGCAGACUCGAGUUGGAGAGAAGUAUGCGGAAUGCGCGGUGUAGCGGUGAAAUGCGUAGAUAUCGCGCAGAACUCCGAUUGCGAAGGCAGCAUGCCGGCUCCAAACUGACGCUGAGGCACGAAAGCGUGGGUAUCGAACAGGAUUAGAUACCCGUGUAGUC